rnacentral:rRNA from 1 species
AUACGGAGGGUGCAAGCGUUGUUCGGAAUCACUGGGCGUAAAGGGCGUGUAGGCGGGACGGUCAGCUAGAGGUGAAAGCCCGGGGCUCAACCCCGGAGGGUCUUUUAGAACUGCCGUUCUUGAGAAGGUCAGAGGUUAGCGGAAUUCCUGGUGUAGCGGUGAAAUGCGUAGAUACCAGGAGGAACACCGGUGGCGAAAGCGGCUAACUGGGGCCAUUCUGACGCUGAGGCGCGAAAGCGUGGGGAGCAAACAGGAUUAGAAACCCUAGUAGUCC